rnacentral:rRNA from 1 species
UACGUAGGGGGCAAGCAUUGUCCGGAUUUAUUGGGCGUAAAGAGCGUGUAGGCGGCCAGACAGGUCAGCUGUGAAAACUCGAGGCUCAACCUCGAGACGUCGGUUGAAACCGUCUGGCUAGAGUCCGGAAGAGGAGAGUGGAAUUCCAGGUGUAGCGGUGAAAUGCGUAGAUAUCUGGAGGAACACCGGUGGCGAAGGCGGCAUCCUGGACCAACACUGACGCUGAGGAGCGAAAGCCAGGGGAGCAAACGGG